GACAGAGGUCCCGAGCGUUAGGCGGAAUCACUGGGCUUAAAGCGUGUGUAGGCGGAUCGUUAAGUGCCUUGUGAAAUCCCACGGCUUAACCGUGGAACUGCUUGGCAUACUGGCGGUCUUGAGCAACCUAGGGGCAAGCGGAACAAAUGGUGGAGCGGUGAAAUGCGUAGAUAUCACAUAGAACACCCAUUGCGAAGGCAGCUCGCUACACUAUUAUUGACGCUGAGGCACGAAAGCGUGGGGAUCAAACAGG
rnacentral:rRNA from 1 species